AACUCAUUCUGCUGGUUGUUAUGCUGACAAUUGAUGAUUAAGCAUCACAACCUCCUAGAAAGAGUAGA
rnacentral:pre_miRNA from 18 species